rnacentral:lncRNA from 1 species
GGGGACGCCCUGACCCCGCCGGGCGUGCGGAGGGGGCGGGGGCGGCGGCGGCGCCAUCUUGGACGCGGCGGUGCCUCGGCUGGGGACCGGCGACGCGGGGCCCGGGGUCGGCGCCGGGGGUCGGGCUUCUGGAACAUCAGUGAUACCAUCCUCCUACUUCUAUUGGGCAGAAAUCGAGGUAUUCUCCUUAUGCUCCCUCAUCUUCUCCAAAAGCCGCCACACACACACAUGCACACACGCAUGCACGCACGCACACACACACACACACUCCCUCUCUCCCUCCCUCCCUCCCUUACCGGCAUAACUAUUUCUCCUUUUUUCCUUCACUCAAGGACCCAAUAAUACAGUGUGUUUGGUAAUAAAGGAAUCCAUCAGCAAU